UACAGAGGUCCCAAGCGUUGUUCGGAUUCACUGGGCGUAAAGGGUGCGUAGGUGGCAGUGUAAGUCUGAUGUGAAAGCUUCGAGCUUAACUCGAAAAUGGCAUUGGAUACUAUAUUGCUGGAGGUUUGGAGGGGGGACUGGAAUUCUCGGUGUAGAAGUGAAAUGCGUAGAUAUCGAGAGGAACACCGGUGGCGAAGGCGAGUCCCUGGACAACACCUGACACUGAGGCACGAAAGCUAGGGGAGCAAACAGG
rnacentral:rRNA from 1 species